GCCAGCAAGAGGAAACUUGGGCUUGGAGAUACUCCCAAGAGUUCAACUGGUGGAAUCUGGCUUUCCAGGGUCAGAAAAAUUGUAACCUCAGACCCCUUGUCUUUUACAGUACAUCCUGCAAAUGUAGCUGUCACCAAUGGAAGGGAGCAGUUCAGAUGGCUUGCUUUGGGACGAAGACCUCAUUUAAGGUCACCUGAGGAAAAAGAACAUCAUACCCUUCCCGCCUGUGCCGACAACGCCUUUGUUCGUAUACUUCUUCCUUGGUUCGGUCGUAUUCCCUAAGCAUCAGCUCCACAGCAUUCUAUCCGCAUCCUCGUACUUUCCUACUUCCCCUUUCUGUAAUUUACUUUAAUGCCUGCCUCACCCUGUAGACUGUAAACUCUUUGAGGGCAGGGAUCGUGUCUAUCAGCUCUGGUUUUUUUGGACUUUCCCAAGCCCUUGGUAAAGUGCCCUGCACACAGUAAGGCGCCAUAAAUCCCGCCGAUGGAUUGACGUGUGCGCUGCGCUGAUGCCGAUAAGUCACCACAACCGUGCCGUGCAAAAACCAGGAGGCAGCAUAGCAAAGACACAACUGGGAAAGGUGCGUUGAUCCGGUUUCAUGGAGGUGGGUGCCAUAUUUUAAGAGGGGCUGCCGUCCUUUCUGGAAAAUGCGGCGCUGUAAUCCAGUCCCCUAGACGGUAAGCUCACUGUGGGCAGGGAACGCGUCUGCUUAUUGUGAUAUUGUACUCUCCCAAGCACGGUGUCCUGCACACGAUAAGCGCUCCAUAAAUACGACUGAUGGAUCCGUAUUUGAUU
rnacentral:lncRNA from 1 species